CGGGGCCGGCCGCCAGUCGCUGGUGACGACCAAAGAAGGCAAAUGUGGCCGGCCACUGUGGGCCCUGGGCCACCCCUGCAGGGUGCAGACCCAUGCCGGCCCGGCCUGGCAGUGAGCAGGCCCUGGGGCAGGCAGUCCCCCCGGCCGGCUUGGGGGCGGUUCAGACACGUGGCCGGCUCCACCUUGCCAAAGCCCUUCCACGCUGGGGGCUUCGUUCCGGCCUCACGCUGAGGACAAACGGCGCGGAGAGAGCCCAGGGAGCCUGCCGGGUCCGCGCCGCCCACCCCUCCCCGGGCGCUGUGUGAUAUGCACGGCCAGCAGUGGGGACCGCGGGCCCUGGCACCAACACAGCAGGUCCCUUGGAGCGUCCAGCUGGCGGACACUCAGCCCAGGGCCGCCCGCUGAGCGCCGAGAAGGGAAGAGGCCGCUCCCGCCAGCGCCCGCGACCUCCGUGGCAGAAAGGGAAGAGGGGGUAGCAGUCUGCGCACGCACGCACUCAGUGGAAUUCGGCAGAGGUUCAUGGAAGGACGGUGCGCCAGGACCCUGCUCUGGAGGCUGCCGUCGGCACGGACCCCACCCCAGAAAAUGACGGAGGCCGUCCGGGAAGAGCGGAGGAGCAUGGAGCUCCUGAUCUCGGCACGCCCAGGAAGAAGAAAGGAGACCCGGCCACCAGCAUCCCUGUGGCCCUCCCAGUGCCCUGGGCAGCCAGGGUGAAGGCACCGCGGUUCUUUCCACGCAACCCGCCAGGCCCAGCUUGAGGAAGCUGCUCUCCAAGCCGGGCAGAGCCGGUGGGAAAGAACAUGGAAUGUGCCGGAACAAGCCACCCCAUCCAUCACUGUCCCUGUCUGCCUGUGGUUCCCAGCCUGCCCUGCCUGGCUGAGAACUGGCCACAGCCCAGAGCUCCCAGCCCUGGGGUUCUAGAACCUUCUUCUGCCCGCCUCCAGUCUGCAAAGCUGCUGGAAAUAACAAGCCUCUGCUUUGAUCAUUCAGAGUCUUGAUUUCUGCUGGAGACGCAGCGUGAGUGUGAAGCUUGCACAGCGAUCUCCGCGGUUCUGCUGAGGCCGAGAGGAGACAGAUGUCCUCGACGGGGCCUGACUGUGUGCCUGCCCAUCCCUCAGACCUCACACCUCCCUUCGAGGAGCAAAAGGAAGAGAAACCCCCUUCGAGGUCGUCUGGCCAGGACCAGCCUCCCUGUGCGCCCCACACCCCAGUGAGACAGAUGGUGAGCCCGCCCUCACUGUCCCCCAAGAAUGGAGGGCUCCACGUGGGGGCGAGGGCAGAGCCAGGGGUGGGGCCCAUCUCUGAAUUCCUAGCU